GCUUGCAUUAAUCCCCGACCGUAGGGGGGGGAAAUGAAACGUUUGUGGGUAGGAGGGUGUUAUGGUUGCAUAGAAGCAUCCAUGUGAGUGGAUGUGGAGCAGCCAUACGUACAGAUCAUGGUUUUACUAGCAGGGUAUAGAAGGGAGAGCCUUCUAGGCCGAAGUCGAGAAGGGUUCGUUGUGAACAGCAGUUGGACGAGGGUUAGUCGGUCCUAAGCAGAAGGUUACAUGGUGAGCAAUAUGAAACAUUAUGUAGGUAAUGGGUUUGCGCAAGAUACUUAGUUUCAGUCUCCGAAAGCGAAUCAGGUUAAUAUUCAUGAACCAGGUAACGGAUAACUAUACAUGUUGAGAGUAGCCUUUAGGGGUUUGUUAAAAUAGGAAUAGCGAAGCGGUAACGCAAACAAACUCGGAGACGUUGUUGGUAGUUCUAGAAAGAGUUGUCUUUUCUGUUUAACCAAUUGAGCAAGCAUGGAAUAGAGUCAUUCGGAGAUAUGCUUGACAAUUGGGAAGAGCGUCGCAAUUUGGUGGCGUCUGGAAUACUGCCAAUGACCCUGUAUAUCCGAGGGCGUGGUUAAUUUUCAAGCUGACCGUACCGUUAAUUUUAUUCAUGUCUUCUACGUGCCCACCCUAAA
rnacentral:rRNA from 1 species